rnacentral:rRNA from 1 species
UACGUAGGUGGCAAGCGUUUGUCCGGAUUUAGCUGGGCGUAAAGAGUGCGCAGGCGGUCGUCCAAAGUCGGAAUGUGAAAGCCCCCGGCUCAACUGGGGAGGUCAUUCGAUACUGUUCGACUCGAAGGCAGGAGAGGGAAGUGGAAUUCCGGGUGUAGUGGUGAAAUGCGUAGAUAUCCGGAGGAACACCAGUGGCGAAGGCGACUUUCUGGCCUGUUCUGACGCUGAGGCGCGAAAAGCUAGGGGAGCAAACGGGG